rnacentral:rRNA from 1 species
CAGUUAAAAAGCUCGUAGUUGGAUUUCUGUGGGGGCGGAGCGGCCGGCCGCAACUUGCGGUUCGAGCUAGCGCUUCCCCUACAUCCUGCCGCGAACCGUGCUACCAUUAGUUUGGUGGCGCCGGGGAUUGGCUCGUUUACUUUGAGAAAAAUAGAGUGUUCAAAGCAGGCCACACGCCUUGAAUAAGUUAGCAUGGAAUAAUAAUAAAGGACUUCGGUUCUAUUUUGUUGGUGUUCGGGACUGAAGUAAUGAUUGAUAGGGACAGUUGGGGCGGUCAGUAUUCCAAAGCGAGAGGUGAAAUUCUUAGACCUUCGGAAGACUAACAGCUGCGAAAGCGUUCCGCAAGGAUGUUCCCUUUGAUCAAGAACGAAAGUUGGGGGAUCGAAGACGAUCAGGUACCGUCGUAGUCUCAACUAUAAACUAUACCAGCUAGGGAUCGGUCAACGUUAAAUUAUUCGACUUGAUCGGCACCUUAUGAGAAAUCAAAGCAUCUGGGUUCCGGGGGGAGUAUGGUCGCAAGGCUGAAACUUAAAGGAAUUGACGGAAGGGCACCACCAGCCGUGGAGCCUGUGGCUUAAUUUGACUCAACACGGGAAAACAUACCAGGUCCAGACAUAGUAAGGAUUGACAGAUUGAUAGCUCUUUCUUGAUUCUGUGGGGUGGUGGUGCAU